rnacentral:rRNA from 1 species
UACGAAGGGGGCUAGCGUUGCUCGGAAUUACUGGGCGUAAAGGGCGCGUAGGCGGAUGUUUAAGUCGGGGGUGAAAGCCCGGGGCUCAACCCCGGAAUUGCCUUCGAUACUGGACAUCUUGAGUACGGGAGAGGUGAGUGGAACUCCGAGUGUAGAGGUGAAAUUCGUAGAUAUUGGGAAGAACACCGGUGGCGAAGGCGGCGCUCUGGACCGAGACUGACGCUGAGGCGCGAAAGCGUGGGGAGCAAACAGG